rnacentral:rRNA from 1 species
CUCCCGGUUGAUCCUGCCGGACCCGACUGCUAUCGGAUUGAGAUUUAGCCAUGCGAGUCGAACGUUCCCCUGUUGCGGGGAGCGUGGCGUACGGCUCAGUAACACGUAGUCAACCUGCCCUGGAGACAAGGACAACCCCGGGAAACUGGGAUUAAUCCUUGAUAGGUCAUCUCAUCUGGAAGGAGAGAUGGCUUAAAGGGGUACGCGGGCUUCUUCCGCGAAUUCGCUCCAGGAUGGGACUGCGUCCGAUCAGGCUGUUGGCGGGGUAAUGGCCCACCAAACCUGUAACCGGUACGGGCCUUGAGAGAGGUGGCCCGGAGAUGGACACUGAGAGAAGGGUCCAGGUCCUACGGGGCGCAGCAGGCGCGAAACCUUCGCAAUGCGCGAAAGCGUGACGAGGUUAAUCCGAGUGACUCCCGCUGAGGGGGUCUUUUGUCAGCUGUAAAUAGGCAGGCGAAUAAGGGGAGGGCAAGCCUGGUGUCAGCCGCCGCGGUAAUACCAGCUCCUCGAGUGGUCGGGGCGAUUAUUGGGCCUAAAGCAUCCGUAGCCGGUUCCGUAGGUCCUCUGUUAAAUCCAACCGCUCAACGGUUGACCUGCAGAGGAUACCGCGGGACUAGGAGGCGGGAGAGGCGGACGGUACUCCGCGUGUAGGGGUAAAAUCCUUUGAUCCGCGGAAGACCACCAGUGGCGAAGGCGGUCCGCCAGAACGCGCUCGACGGUGAGGGAUGAAAGCUGGGGGAGCAAACCGGAUUAGAUACCCGGGUAGUCCCAGCCGUAAACGAUGCUAGCUAGAUGAUUCAUUCGCAAGUCGCGAAUGAAGUGUCGCAGGGAAGCCGUUAAGCUAGCCGCCUGGGGAGUACGGUCGCAAGACUGAAACUUAAAGGAAUGGCGGGGGAGCA